GCAUAAAGGAGGUGAUCCAGCCGCAGGUUCUCCUACGGCUACCUGUUACGACUUCACCCUAAUCAUCUGUCCCACCUUAGGCGGCUGGUUCCUAAAAGGUUACCCCACCGACUUUGGGUGUUACAAACUCUCAUGGUGUGACGGGCGGUGUGUACAAGGCCCGGGAACGUAUUCACCGCGGCAUGCUGAUCCGCGAUUACUAGCGAUUCCGACUUCAUGUAGGCGAGUUGCAGCCUACAAUCCGAACUGAGAAUGGCUUUAAGAGAUUAGCUUACUCUCGCGAGUUCGCAACUCGUUGUACCAUCCAUUGUAGCACGUGUGUAGCCCAGGUCAUAAGGGGCAUGAUGAUUUGACGUCAUCCCCACCUUCCUCCGGUUUGUCACCGGCAGUCUCACCAGAGUGCCCAACUUAAUGCUGGCAACUGAUAAUAAGGGUUGCGCUCGUUGCGGGACUUAACCCAACAUCUCACGACACGAGCUGACGACAACCAUGCACCACCUGUAUCCAUGUCCCCGAAGGGAACGUCUAAUCUCUUAGAUUUGCAUAGUAUGUCAAGACCUGGUAAGGUUCUUCGCGUAGCUUCGAAUUAAACCACAUGCUCCACCGCUUGUGCGGGCCCCCGUCAAUUCCUUUGAGUUUCAAGCCUUGCGGCCGUACUCCCCAGGCGGAAUGCUUAAUGCGUUAGCUGCAGCACUGAAGGGCGGAAACCCUCCAACACUUAGCAUUCAUCGUUUACGGUAUAGACUACCAGGGUAUCUAAUCCUGUUUGCUACCCAUACUUUCGAGCCUCAGCGUCAGUUACAGACCAGACAGCCGCCUUCGCCACUGGUGUUCUUCCAUAUAUCUACGCAUUUCACCGCUACACAUGGAGUUCCACUGUCCUCUUCUGCACUCAAGUUUCCCAGUUUCCGAUGCACUUCUUCGGUUGAGCCGAAGGCUUUCACAUCAGACUUAAAAAACCGCCUGCGCUCGCUUUACGCCCAAUAAAUCCGGACAACGCUUGCCACCUACGUAUUACCGCGGCUGCUGGCACGUAGUUAGCCGUGGCUUUCUGGUUAAAUACCGUCAAUACCUGAACAGUUACUCUCAGAUAUGUUCUUCUUUAACAACAGAGUUUUACGAGCCGAAACCCUUCUUCACUCACGCGGCGUUGCUCCAUCAGACUUUCGUCCAUUGUGGAAGAUUCCCUACUGCUGCCUCCCGUAGGAGUUUGGGCCGUGUCUCAGUCCCAAUGUGGCCGAUUACCCUCUCAGGUCGGCUACGUAUCAUUGCCAUGGUGAGCCGUUACCYCACCAUCUAGCUAAUACGCCGCGGGACCAUCCAAAAGUGAUAGCCGAAGCCAUCUUUCAARCUCGGACCAUGCGGUCCAAGUUGUUAUGCGGUAUUAGCAUCUGUUUCCAGGUGUUAUCCCCCGCUUCUGGGCAGGUUUCCCACGUGUUACUCACCAGUUCGCCACUCACUCAAAUGUAAAUCAUGAUGCAAGCACCAAUCAAUACCAGAGUUCGUUCGACUUGCAUGUAUUAGGCACGCCGCCAGCGUUCGUCCUGAGCCAUAA
rnacentral:rRNA from 1 species